rnacentral:lncRNA from 1 species
UGCACGUGAGCCUCAAUCAGUAUAAAUCAUUCCUUCCAUCUUCCCUUGUGAAGGGAUGAUCCCAAAUGAAACAAAGAAUGCUAAAGAAUAAUCAAAAUAUAAAAAAAAGAAGUCAUUUAUUUUACAGUGUGUCCCAGUGAGGUGCUAGGUGUGUUUCAUGCAUUUUUGAAAUUAUUUCUCAUAUCACAUGAGAUAUGUACUAUCAUAAAUCUUAUCUUGAAGAUGAGGAAACUGAGACUUGAAGACAUUAAACAUCUCGUUUAAACUGAUUAGGGAUUACAAAUCCAGGUAAUCUCAUUUUUAAACGCAGGUUCUCAACAAUUUCACUAUACUAUUGAAGAAGUGAACAGUGGCCUCAACUAGCUAAAUACAAUUUUUACUGCAACCAAAUUAUAAGUGGGAGUUGGAUUGAUCUCUGAAUGACCUUUCUUGACUUCAUCACCCGAUCUCUUAGCAAAUCUUCAGCAUCACCCUCAGCACCAGCACCAGCAGCUAACCCACCCAUGUGGGCAGAGCUGCCCAUAAAUAAAUGCAAAUCAAAAAUAAAGAAGUUUGCUAUGAUUUAGCUGAGAUCAAGGUUCCAUGAAAAAGCCAAUUUCAUCCAAGUAACAUAUGUAUGAAAAAAUUAGUAAAGUAGCCGUGGGACUCUGGAGAAAAAUACACUCUAAAAUCAUCAAACUGGGAAUUUAUAGUUGUCCUUUCCAUUGCAUAUCCUGAAUCUAUGCACAUGUAUAUUGAAGACUUGGUAAAGUACAUUAAAAACUAUCAAAAGCACAUAUCAAAG